rnacentral:lncRNA from 1 species
UUAAACAAAAGUUAGGUAAAACUUUAUUUAAUUUACAUCAAAUCGGAUAUAAAUGUUUUUAAUUAUAUAUAAUGAAUAGAAAACUUAGUUAAAGAUUGGAAAAAUAUACUAAAAUGAGCGUCUAACCACUAAUUAGAGCUUAGAUAACCGCCUAAACUGCUUUAGAAUACAUAAAACACAACUUCUCCAAAAGGUACUAACAACCAAAACAAGAGAUAAGUCCUCGUCUAGGUUUCAAUAUUUUAUCUAUUGUUUUCUUAAUCUUUUGCUCGUCCAGAUUUUCUCCUUUCACAAUAAAUACGUAGUCGUCUUCAUCAAAAUCAACAAAAGCAACUCCUAAAAACGAUAAUAAAGAAGAAAAAAAAACAUUUGUACACAUUGGUUUAAAACUUGUAUAGUGUGAAUGAUUCGAUUUAGCUCAUUAUAAUCAUACGGUUGUAUUGGUGACUUGGUGUGUGUACCUUUACAACGAGCGAUACGGCCUACUACCUCAUGACUAGUAUCUUGGCUAAUAGUUACAGAAACCUCAAAUCGAAGAGUCUCCUUCUGUAGCAAACAAUGCAAUUUAGUCAAGUCCUUAAUAAAAUUAAUCAUAUAAACAAAACAUAACUUUGUUGAGUAUGGAUAAAUAUAUUUAUGUUUUGUUUCAUAAGCUUCUUACAAAGAGUAAAACCAUUUUCUUCAAAAAAAAAUUAAAAACUACAAAAAAACAAUUUUUUUUUUUUUAAGUUUGUAAAUUGUAGAGAAGAGGCUCAUGAACCUUUACUUAUAUAAGAUUAUUAUUUUUUAAAAAAUUGGAUAUAUCUUAAAUAUUCUCAUAAUAAUAGUGUGACACUUGACACACAUUAAAAAUUAAUUAAUUAGCUUUCAAUUUAUGUUAAUUGUUUUUUAUAAAAUCCAUAUCUUCAAAAUCUUUAAGAAUUCAUCCUAAACUACAAGAAGAAAUAAAAAAAAAAGUCCUUCCACGGUUCCACCAAUAAAAAUUUAAAAAAUAAAUAAAACAUUAUAUAUAUAUAUAUAUUACAUAAAAAUUAAUGAUAUUUACAAAAAAAAUAUUAAAAAAAUCUACAUUUAAUAUUUUUAUUGGUUAGUGUAUAUCACACCUUUGAACAAAAAAAAA